rnacentral:misc_RNA from 1 species
GAAGUACAUGUAGCAGCACCGUCAGUUCAGCUAUUAAGGACCAAGCACCAAAAAUUUACCAAGAUCUUUAAACAUAACCUGCAUGAAAGGCUUGCUUCUCAACUACUGCUUUAUAUAUAUAAGAAUAGCACAUUUAUGUCUCACACCCAUAUGAAAAAUUAAAAUACUCUGGCUUCCUUUAAGCCUAUUUCAAUUUCUAAUGCAUGUUGUGCAGUUAUAUAUAUGAGCAUUCCUCUCUAUCCUUUCAUUGCACGGUAAAGAAGCUCAC